GCAGUCGAGCGGUAGAGAGAGCUUGCUUCUCUUGAGAGCGGCGGACGGGUGAGUAAUGCCUAGGAAUCUGCCUGGUAGUGGGGGAUAACGUUCGGAAACGGACGCUAAUACCGCAUACGUCCUACGGGAGAAAGCAGGGGACCUUCGGGCCUUGCGCUAUCAGAUGAGCCUAGGUCGGAUUAGCUAGUUGGUGGGGUAAUGGCUCACCAAGGCGACGAUCCGUAACUGGUCUGAGAGGAUGAUCAGUCACACUGGAACUGAGACACGGUCCAGACUCCUACGGGAGGCAGCAGUGGGGAAUAUUGGACAAUGGGCGAAAGCCUGAUCCAGCCAUGCCGCGUGUGUGAAGAAGGUCUUCGGAUUGUAAAGCACUUUAAGUUGGGAGGAAGGGCAGUUGCCUAAUACGUAACUGUUUUGACGUUACCGACAGAAUAAGCACCGGCUAACUCUGUGCCAGCAGCCGCGGUAAUACAGAGGGUGCAAGCGUUAAUCGGAAUUACUGGGCGUAAAGCGCGCGUAGGUGGUUUGUUAAGUUGGAUGUGAAAUCCCCGGGCUCAACCUGGGAACUGCAUUCAAAACUGACUGACUAGAGUAUGGUAGAGGGUGGUGGAAUUUCCUGUGUAGCGGUGAAAUGCGUAGAUAUAGGAAGGAACACCAGUGGCGAAGGCGACCACCUGGACUAAUACUGACACUGAGGUGCGAAAGCGUGGGAGCAAA
rnacentral:rRNA from 1 species